UACGUAGGGGGCAAGCGUUGUCCGGAAUUAUUGGGCGUAAAGAGCGUGUAGGCGGUCCGGUAAGUCAGCUGUGAAAGUCAAGGGCUCAACCCUUGAAUGCCGGUUGAUACUGUCGGGCUAGAGUCCGGAAGAGGCGAGUGGAAUUCCCGGUGUAGCGGUGAAAUGCGCAGAUAUCUGGAGGAAUACCGGUGGCGAAGGCGGCAUCCUCGGACCGGCAUU
rnacentral:rRNA from 1 species